GUUAGGAAUAUUGGACAAUGGGCGCAAGCCUGAUCCAGCCAUGCCGCGUGAGUGAUGAAGGCCUUCGGGUUGUAAAGCUCUUUAGCCGAUGAUUAUAAUGACUGUAGUCGGAAAAUAAGCCCCGGCUAACUUCGUGCCAGCAGCCGCGGUAAUACGAAGGGGGCGAGCGUUAUUCGGAAUCACUGGGCGUAAAGCGUGCGUAGGCGGCUUUGCAAGUUGGGAGUGAAAGCCCAGGGCUCAACCCUGGAAUUGCUCUCAAAACUGCAAGGCUCGAAUUCGGGAGAGGAUAGCGGAAUUGUCAGUGUAGCAGUGAAAUGCGUAGAUAUUGACAGGAACACCAGUGGUGUAAGCGGCUAUCUGGACCGAUAUUGACGCUGAGGCACGAAAGCGUGGGGAUCAAACAGGAUUAGAAACCCGUGUAGUCC
rnacentral:rRNA from 1 species